GGGCUUCUUCUAAAUAACCAAAGACACUCCUUUCCCCUUUAUCUCCUCUUACCACUUAGGAAAUUCCCAGGGCUUUAGGAGCUCUGUGCUCAACUUAUGUUCGGUCCACAAAUUCUGUGAUACCCCUCCUUUCAAGAAUUGGAGCUUAAUUCUACUUCUCCUGCUGUGGGUGGCACUUAGUGACUCUCUUCUAAUGACAGUAUGUGGCUUCUGAGACUAGAUCAUAAAAGGCAUUAGCGCUUUCCCCUUGCUCUCCCUCUCAGAUCACUGGCUCUGGGGGAAGCCAGCUACCAUAUUGUAAUAAUACUCAAACAGCCCAGUGGAGAGGUCCACGUGCAAGAAACCGAGGCCUCCUGCCAACAGCCAGCAAAGAACUGAGACGUUCUGCCAACAGCCAUGUGAGUGAGCCCUCUUGGAAGAAGAUCCUCCCAUCUCAUUCAAGCCUUCAGAUGACUGCAGCCCAGCCAAAUCUGAAUUCCAGCCUUAGGAGAGUCCCAAAGCUAGAACCACCGGCUAAGCUGCUGUAGAAUUUUUGGUCGGCAGAAACUAGAACACAGUAGGCAGAGCGGUGGGCAGAGGCAGAGGGAGAAGCAAGGAGCCCAAUGCGGGGCUCGAUCCCAGGACCCUGAGAUCAUGACUUGAGCCAAAGGCAGAUGCUUAACUGACUGAGCCGCCCAGGCGCCCCUAGGAUGGACAUUUUUUUUUUCUAACAAUAACAACAAAAGAAAUGCAGCUACAAAGUAUGAUGAUCAAAUGGAUGUAUUUGCAAAAACUAUAUUGCAAAGACCCGUCCUCCUGAGGUAGCACCGAAAGUUCAAGAGUGGGGUAAACCUUCUGAUGGGGGCACUAAAAAAGGCUUUAAAAGCAACCCAAGCCUCAAAGCAAAAGAUUAGCAUGGAAAAAAGCAUAACACUCUUUCAGAAAAAAUUAAGAGAUGAAGUGGAAAACAAGAUAAAGGAAAAGACCCACAGCCCUGGCACGGAAAGAGGUUAAAAAGCGUAGCCGUCAUUGGUGGAGGUGAGAGUGAUGAAGAAUGGGCCAGAAGUCGGUGUCGACCUGGGGUAGUGGGGAGAGGGGACGAUGCAAAGUUUUGGGCCUUCCAUCAUUUAUCAGUGAGUUUCUAACUGUUAGAGAAAAGGAGCAUCUAGUAGUUACAUUCAGCAGACGUUUCCUUUCAAGUUGAGACACGUGCUCUUUUGAAAAUAGCCCCUUUACCUUCUGCUCAUACACCCCGGGACUGCAUCUGAACAGUCUGCCAAUGCCAAAAAGAAGUCUUGUCCUUAUUCCUCUGGAAUAGGGCAGCCUCAAAGGGAAAUCUGGAAACAUUUGUCGACAGAGACCCAGCAUCUUCCAAGAACCUCUGUUCUUCCCCGUGAUGUGUGCUGGACACUUUGGGCCCUACCUCCAAGAAGGCUUCGAAGCCAAGGGAAGUUCCCAGAUGCCCUGGAGAAUAGGAUCUAGGGUGGUCAGUGCCAAAGGGGUCCUUUGUGGAGCCAAAAUGCAGCACAACAUAGCAGAGGAGAUUCUGAGUACAGGGAUUCUGAGUACAAGGGAGUAAUCAGGACAGAAAAAUACUAUAAAUCCUGCAGGGUCACCAUCACAACCCUCAGCGUAAAAUGAAGGCUUCAGGCUCCAGGGACCACAGUUCCAGCUGCAAAAAUGUUAUAGACUGAGCAUCUUUGUCUUCCAAGGAGACCAAAACAAAGAUCAAAUAAUGGAGGGCGUAGGAAAUGGGAAUAUAGAACUCCCUAGCUUGCUGACCUCAACGCUGCAUGUGAUUUAGAAGCUUUGUUGUAUCACAUAGUCAUCAGUCUCUUGGCCUUUUAAAAAUACAUGUGUUUAUAGUUAUUUCAUAUCUGCAUAGAGAACUCUUAACCUCUCCCCAGAGCUAAUUAACAAUUCUUAAUGAGGGCAGGUGUCUUGACUUAAACUUCAAAGUGUGGAAAGUAACAACGGGCCAUGGUUUAGAGGGUAUUUGUUGAAGGCCAUAGUUCAGCAUCCUGGCUGCACAUUAGAAUCACCUGGAAAGUUUUAAAAUGUUGAUGCCUGGAAUCCAUCCUCAGAAAGUCUGAUUUAAUUGUUUUGGGGGUAAAGCCAGGUUAUCCAUACUAUUUUUGCAAGUUCCCCCAGGAGAUUUGAAUGUGCAGGUAGCCAUGAGAAACAUAGGGCUAAGAUCAUUGGGAUCCUAUGGGAUCCUAGCCACCCAUUCCUACGAGGUGCACAGAGAAGAAAACAAAACAGGUAACUCUUUUUGAGGAGGUUCAGCCCAAAUAUCAUUGCAGUACUGUAGUGAACUAGGCUGGGCCUAAUGAAUAUUUUUGCCUGCACCUGAAUAGCCAAAAACCGAAGCUAAAUGGAAAGCUAACUGUUCCUCUCCAUCGCCAAGUCCAAACCAAAGUGUCCGUUGACACCACUUUAAUAAGAGAGACAGCCACAUCCACCAGCAGAAAGCAGAACCAGUCAUAUUUUGCCACUCCUAUUUUAACCAAGAAAGGAUUAAUAUCUCAAAACAGAAGGAAAUACAAACCCAUAAGAAAAAGUCAACAACCCAAUGGAAAAAUGAGCAAAGAAUAGAAACAGCUAAUAAAAGAGAAGCCUCUGACAUCCAACACACAUGAAAAAAUCUUCCUCUCUCCUGACCAGGGAAAGGCCAGUUAUAAUCACAAAGGAGAUAGAUACCAUUUCACACUUAACAGAACGACUAAAAUCCAAGUUUGGUGAUACCCAAUGUUCGCAAGGAUGUUGAGCAACAAGAACUCACAUAUUACUAAUGGGGUGUCGAUGUGCACAGCCACUUAGGAAGGCAAUUCUGCAGUCUCUGUGAAUGUAGACGAUGCUCACACCCUUCGAGGAAUCCAUUUCCCCUUAAGGAUUUGCCACUGGGAUAGGUACAGGAAAAGACAGACCGGUAUGCAAACAGUCCACUGCAGCACUGUCUGUCUGUGACUCGAUUAGAAGGACUGUCCUCCAAUAGUGGUUUCAGCAUCGUACAAUGACAUAGUAUACUCAGUUAAAAUGAAUAUCUACAUAUUUCAACAUAGAUUAAUCUUAAAUAUGUUAAAAGUGCAAGUUACAAAAUGUCAUU